AUUGAACGCUGGCGGCGGGCUUAACACAUGCAAGUCGGAAGAGUGGCGAACGGGUGAGUAACGCCUGGGAAACUCCCGGAUAGAGGGGGAUAACUACUGGCAACGACAGCUAAUACCGCAUAUUAUUGGAGGGGCCGAUGGGGGAUUAGCUGGUAGGGGGGGUAAAGGCUCACCAAGGCGACGAUCCCUAGCUGGUCUGAGAGGAUGAUCCGCCACACUGGAACUGAGACACGGUCCAGACUCCUACGGGAGGCAGCAGUGGGGAAUAUUGGACAAUGGGCGCAAGCCGGAUGCAGCCAUGCCGCGUGUAUGAAGAAGGCCUUCGGGUUGUAAAGUACUUUCAGCGGGGAGGCGUUACCCGCAGAAGAAGCACCGGCUAACUCCGUGCCAGCAGCCGCGGUAAUUC
rnacentral:rRNA from 1 species